rnacentral:lncRNA from 1 species
UUUAUUCUAGAACUUUUGGUCUCAACAAGAGGUUGCAUGGGGGACGAAGGGAGAAAUCCAGUUCUUUCGCUAAGUAUAGGGAAUGUAAUGUGGGGGAAGAGCUUUUUGAGGAAAUUUGAAGCAUCGAGGUCUCAAAUCCGCAACAAACUAAAGUAUUUAUUCUAUUAGGUAAUUAGAAAUAUCGUAAGAGAAGAAGAAAUGCCCAAAGACUCCCAUGCUUUCCGUUGGUCAACAACCAAUAAAAGUAAACUAUAGCACUACUCCUACAGGAAGGACUCGCUUUCUCUUUCUGUCUGGAGGGAAUGGAAAGAUCUCUGUGCGUGGCGUGAUAAGGAAUCCUAGAAAAGAUCGAUUGAGACUCCCUCCCCGGUCCCACGAAGAUCUCUCUGUACUUGUCUAGUCCAGGACAACUGAGAUCUUCCGGUCUGCGUGCGUGGGAGCAGCUCAAACAAAGAAGAGUCUGGUCUGGUCUGAAUUCAGGCCCGGCCCGCCCGUCUGUUGCUAGGUCCGGGAAUGGCGCCAGGCGAGGGCGCCGCUAUGCCCCGCUGCUCCGCUGCGACCGGCCCU